UACAGAGGGGGCAAGCGUUGUUCGGAAUUACUGGGCGUAAAGGGCGCGUAGGCGGCCUGUUAAGUCGAACGUGAAAUCCCCGGGCUCAACCCGGGAACUGCGUCCGAUACUGGCAGGCUUGAAUCCGGGAGAGGGAUGCGGAAUUCCAGGUGUAGCGGUGAAAUGCGUAGAUAUCUGGAGGAACACCGGUGGCGAAGGCGGCAUCCUGGACCGGCAUUGACGCUGAGGCG
rnacentral:rRNA from 2 species